UACAGAGGGGGCAAGCGUUAUUCGGAAUUAUUGGUCGUAAAGGGCGCGUAGGCGGCCUGGCAAGUGGAAGGUGAAAUCCCUCGGCUUAACCGAGGAACUGCCCUCCAAACUGCUUGGCUUGAGUCCGGGAGAGGUGAGUGGAAUUCCCAGUGUAGCGGUGAAAUGCGUAGAUAUUGGGAGGAACACCAGUGGCGAAGGCGGCUCACUGGACCGGAACUGACGCUGAGGCGCGAAAGCGUGGGGAGCAAACGGG
rnacentral:rRNA from 1 species